rnacentral:rRNA from 1 species
UCGCCCGCCCCGGCCCCGCGCCCGUCCCGCCGCCCCCGCCCUCCUACGGGGAGGCAGCAGUGGGGAAUAUUGCACAAUGGGCGAAAGCCUGAUGCAGCAACGCCGCGUGAGGGAUGACGGCCUUCGGGUUGUAAACCUCUUUUAGCAGGGAAGAAGCGAAAGUGACGGUACCUGCAGAAAAAGCGCCGGCUAACUACGUGCCAGCAGCCGCGGUAAUACGUAGGGCGCAAGCGUUAUCCGGAAUUAUUGGGCGUAAAGAGCUCGUAGGCGGUUUGUCGCGUCUGCUGUGAAAUCCCGAGGCUCAACCUCGGGCCUGCAGUGGGUACGGGCAGACUAGAGUGCGGUAGGGGAGAUUGGAAUUCCUGGUGUAGCGGUGGAAUGCGCAGAUAUCAGGAGGAACACCGAUGGCGAAGGCAGAUCUCUGGGCCGUAACUGACGCUGAGGAGCGAAAGGGUGGGGAGCAAACAGGCUUAGAUACCCUGGUAGUCCACCCCGUAAACGUUGGGAACUAGUUGUGGGGACCAUUGCACGGUUUCCGUGGCGCCAGCGCGCGCGUCCCGUCGCCCGCCUCGACCUAACGAAGAUUGG